rnacentral:rRNA from 1 species
AUGACGGUCAAAUCAUCAUGCCCCUUAUGUUCCUGGGCUACACACGUGCUACAAUGGCCGGUACAGACGGACGGCAAAGCCGGCGAGGUGGAGCGAAAUCCCUAAAAAGCCGGUCUCCAGUUACGGACUUGCAGGCUGCAAUUCGCCUGCAUGAAGUCGGAAUCGCUAGUAAUCGCAGGUCAGCAUACUCGCGGUCGAAUACGUUCCCGGGCCUU